rnacentral:rRNA from 1 species
UGGGGAAUAUUGGACAAUGGGCGCAAGCCUGAUCCAGCCAUACCGCGUGGGUGAAGAAGGCCUUCGGGUUGUAAAGCCCUUUCGUUGGGAAAGAAAAGCAAUCGAUUAAUACCCGGUUGUUCUGACGGUACCCAAAGAAUAAGCACCGGCUAACUUCGUGCCAGCAGCCGCGGUAAUACGAAGGGUGCAAGCGUUACUCGGAAUUACUGGGCGUAAAGCGUGCGUAGGUGGUUGUUUAAGUCUGUUGUGAAAGCCCUGGGCUCAACCUGGGAAUGGCAGUGGAUACUGGGCAACUAGAGUGUGGUAGAGGGUAGUGGAAUUCCCGGUGUAGCAGUGAAAUACGUAGAGAUCGGGAGGAACAUCCAUGGCGAAGGCAGCUACCUGGACCAACACUGACACUGAGGCACGAAAGCGUGGGGAGCAAACCGG